GUGUGACGUGAUGGUUUACCAUCUUUCGGGACUGACUUUGUCUUGGAGAGAACAUGAAUUCUGCUGAUCACGC
ensembl:snoRNA small nucleolar RNA SNORD2